AGAGUUUGAUCCUGGCUCAGAUUGAACGCUGGCGGCAUGCCUUACACAUGCAAGUCGAACGGGGUAGCAAUACCCUAGUGGCGAACGGGUGAGUAAAGCAUCGGAACGUACCCAGUCGUGGGGGAUGACGUAGCGAAAGUUACGCUAAUACCGCAUACGAUCUGAGGAUGAAAGCAGGGGACUCGCAAGAGCCUCGCGCGAUUGGAGCGGCCGAUGUCGGAUUAGCUAGUUGGUGGGGUAAAAGCCUACCAAGGCGACGAUCCGUAGCUGGUCUGAGAGGAUGAUCAGCCACACUGGGACUGAGACACGGCCCAGACUCCUACGGGAGGCAGCAGUGGGGAAUUUUGGACAAUGGGGGAAACCCUGAUCCAGCCAUGCCGCGUGAGUGAAGAAGGCCUUCGGGUUGUAAAGCUCUUUCAGACGGAAAGAAAUGGUCCCCUUGGCUAAUACCCGAGAUCGAUGACGGUACCGUAAGAAGAAGCACCGGCUAACUACGUG
rnacentral:rRNA from 1 species